rnacentral:rRNA from 1 species
CCUACGGGAGGCUGCAGUGAGGAAUAUUGGUCAAUGGACGAGAGUCUGAACCAGCCAAGUAGCGUGAAGGAUGACUGCCCUAUGGGUUGUAAACUUCUUUUAUAUGGGAAUAAAAUGUUCCACGUGUGGGAUUUUGUAUGUACCAUAUGCAUAAGGAUCGGCUAACCCCGUGCCAGCAGCCGCGGUAAUACGGAGGAUCCGAGCGUUAUCCGGAUUUAUUGGGUUUAAAGGGAACGUAGGUGGAUUGUUAAGUCAGUUGUGAAAGUUUGCGGCUCAACCGGAAAAUUGCAGUUGAAACUGGCAGUCUUGAGUACAGUAGAGGUGGGCGGAAUUCGUGGUGUAGCGGUGAAAUGCUUAGAUAUCACGAAGAACUCCGAUUGCGAAGGCAGUUCACUGGACUGCAACUGACACUGAGGCUCGAAAGUGUGGGUAUCAAACAGGAUUAGAUACCCUAGUAGUC